GAGGGCCUAACUGUCUCCUGUAGCCAAUCAAUGAAAUUGAUCUCACAGUACAAAUGCUGUGAUACAACUAUAAGACGAGAAGACCCUGUGGAGCUUUAAACCUUCCACAUUAACUAAUUACCCUCAACUACUAUUAGUAUAACGUGAGUUUUAAGUUGGGGCGACUAUGGAGUAAAAAUUAACCUCCAAGUAAUACGAUUAAACCUCGUUACACACGGCUAACAAGCCUAGUCAAAACACACGACCCAGUCAAACUGACUAUCGAACCAAGUUACCCCAGGGAUAACAGCGCCAUCCCCUUAAAGAGUCCACAUCG
rnacentral:rRNA from 1 species